rnacentral:SRP_RNA from 1 species
ACCAGCCGGGGGAGUAGCGGUCCCUUGUAACUCACAAUCCGCUAAAGUGAGGGUGGAUUCCUGUUUUGAGGGUUGUAAAGGUGUGGUCUGCGCCGUUAUGACCGUGUUGAUAAAUGGGUCUUGCGCAAUCAAUGGUUGUGAACCAUGUCAGGUGGGGAACCAAGCAGCAUUAAGCAGCAAGUUUGAUGUGCCGUGAGGUCGCCUGUUUUGAGCGGAAGUAGCG